UACGUAGGGUGCAAGCGUUGUCCGGAAUUAUUGGGCGUAAAGCGCACGUAGGCGGCUUUUCAAGUCCCAUGUGAAAUCCCACGGCUUAACCGUGGAAGUGCAUGGGAAACUGGAAAGCUUGAGUACUUAAGAGGAUCGCGGAAUUCCCGGUGUAGAGGUGAAAUUCGUAGAUAUCGGGAGGAACACCAGUGGCGAAGGCGGCGAUCUGGGAAGAUACUGACGCUGAGGUGCGAAAGCGUGGGGAGCAAACAGG
rnacentral:rRNA from 1 species